rnacentral:lncRNA from 12 species
GUCAUGGAUACCAUACACCAGAUAAUGGAUGGAGAGAAAAAAGACAGAGGAAAAGCAACAGCACUUACUGUAUCCUUGUAUUCUUUAACUUCCAAUUUGAAUAUGUUAAAAAAAAAGUAAUGUUUGUGGGUUUUUUUUGUUUUGUUUUUGUUUUUGUUUGUUUUUUUUUUUUUUUUUUUAGUCUGGUAAGUGAACAAGGCAGCUUAUAAGUACUUUUAUUAAUAAGAAUGUAGAUUUAUGACUUGAUGGUAAACCAGAGCUGUCUCCUCCCCAGGACUCAUCCUGGCCACCCAGAUAGCAAAUGUCCAGCAAUGAAUGAGAAACCACGUUUCGGUCAUUUUGCAUGUCCUCCACGGAAAUACACCUGACACAACAAAUCAUACCCAGAGCUUGGAAAUGAUAGUCAAAUCCUUCUCUAAGAUUUGUUUCCAGAAACAAACCGAACUUCACAAAUAUUAAUACACUAAAUAAUAAUCUGCCGCAUUAGUAUAGUAACACAAGAACAGUAAAGUGCAGAAAUAAUGCAGAUCAUCAGGAAACAGGACGUGAUAAGUGAUUGGAAUCAGACACAGGCAUGCAGAGAGCACAUUCUCCCUCUCCAUCAUGACAACCACACUGGAUUGUGCAAGAUAUUAUCUGGACUUAUAUUGCGUUGACUCCUUCUCAUUCAUCGAAAAGUGACAACCCAAUAUUAAUGGCAUUCGGUCUAGUACUUCUUGAUGAACCAGAGAGCACCUAGUUGCAGCAAUUGGCGUAUUUCUCCGUCUUGUUCCAUACCUGAGAGGUGCCCUUCAGAAAGAGCUGCAGGCUGGAUGAUUUAGAACCAACAGGAGGCAAGGUGAGUCUUGGUCUUAGCCCCAGAUUCACGAAAUACAGAGACCGGAGGAGAGCAUGGACGUACUGUGAGGACAGCAGCUGUAGUCAGCAGGCCUUAAAAGAGUGUGCAUUUGGAGUGCCUGGGGGUCAGUGGUUGAGCAUCUGCCUUUGGCUCCGGGCGUGACCCCAGGGUCCUGGGAUCGAGUCCCACAUCGGGGUCCCCGCAGGGAGCCUGCUUCUCCCUAUUCCUAUAUCUCUGCCUCUCUCUGUGUGUCUCUCAUGAAUAAACAAAUAAAAUCUUAAAAAAAAAAAGAGUAU